rnacentral:lncRNA from 1 species
AACGGUAAGAUGAAAAAUAAAUAAAAGGACGACACCUCUUUUCUCUCACCACGAACCAACAGACACUAACUUAAUCUCUCUCUCCAAAAAAUAAAGGAAAGGAUUAAAAACAGAAAAAAAAGAGGUGACUCUUCUUCUGGACUCCCUCAACCGCUCACCCACUUCCUUCCACCCCCCAACAGCUACAACCAUCGCUCAACCCUCCGUGCCUCCGUCUCUCUCCUACAAACCGCGCCGUCACAAAAUCAUCACCGCACACAACAACCAAAUGAAUGCCUCCCCGCGUCCAUAUCCAUCUGGCCACCAUCACUUCUUCAUCUCCCUCCGGCUACACCGUCCAUACCCGCCGUCUUCCGCUGUGAACUCCAACCCACAACCACAACACAUAAAACUUCCUUCCAUUGUUCAACCGUCCUCCUUCAUAACCACCUCCGGUCAACACCACCGCCACUAACCUCCUUCGCACCCUCCGCUCCAUACUACAACUCCACCGCCGACGACCGUUCGUCGUCGUCACCGCAGAACCACCACAUAAACUGUGCCAUCAAAACAUUUCGAUCUCCUUCUUCUCCUCACAACGUCCUCCAACCCGUGAAAUCUUUGAAAAAUCACCUCCACACUCCUCUGAACGUCCGCUUCUCUCUUUCAUCCUCGCCAGACACCGCUAUCAUUGUCGCGACAAUGGUGAUUUUGGUACUGUACUAGAACGUUAUUAAUGGCUCUUAAUAAUUGUGUAUGUGAUUAUUAUGUGUUAAAUAUGAUAGUUUUCCAUAUACAAGUCCAUUGCUAGAGUAAUCUAGUUGAUUAGAAUGGUAGUGUAUGGUCUUCUCUUAUAACAUUUUUCUACCAAAACCUCUGCUUCUUAAGGGUUCUACGUGAGAAUUAUCAUGAAACUUUAAAAAAUGAUAUCCUAUCACUUUGUAGUUUUUAUAAAAUUGUUUAGAAGUGAGUUUACUUUUUAUUUAAAUAUUUAUGUUAUAUGAAUGAAGAUUUGAAUAUAACUUUGGUUUGGAUAUUUGUGUCAAUUAAUGAGGUGAAAGUAUGUUUUCCAAAGUUGGUCUUAUAGAUAUAGUCACAUUCAUGUAUGCAUAUUUUUUUUUUAAAUUAUUGUUCUCAUUUCUUUUUAUUAUUAUUUACUUUUUUAUUUGAUUAAUUUAAAUUAGCAGUUGAUUAACUAAUUAGUUGAUUAUAGUUUUGAUUAAUUAUUUUCUUUUUGUUAAGUGGAUUAAUUUGUUUAUUUAGUCGAUUAAUAUUUAUCCAUAUUCUUUUUUUUACAUGUAAAUAAUCAUAUUUCAGCGUCACUAAAAUUUCUUUCAAUUUCAAUAAUCAAUUUAAAUUUCAAUCCAUU